rnacentral:tRNA from 1 species
ACUAAAUUGGCAGAAAAAUGUAUUGAAUUUAGAAUUCAAUUAUGUAAAAAUUUACAUUUAGUA